rnacentral:tRNA from 2 species
GGAGAGGUGCUGGAGUGGCUGAACAGGGCUGCCUGCUAAGCAGUUGCGCGGGAUACCGCGCCGAGGGUUCGAAUCCCUCCCUCUCCG